AUACAAAUCAUUUGGAAAUUUUGUUAAACUGCAGAUUUUGAUUUUUUGGUGGGGCCUGAGACUCUGCAUGUCCAACAAGCUUCCAGGUGAUGCUGAU
rnacentral:pre_miRNA from 1 species